rnacentral:lncRNA from 1 species
UACUAUUUGCCCAGAGCCUUUUCUCUCUGUAGAUGCAAAAAAAUCCCUCUAUUACUUCUUCCAUUCAGUGCAGUGCCCUUUGUCUCCAUCAACUGUUGUGGAGGGAAAUUUUAUUUGGAAUAUUCAUAACAAGUCUAUCGCUAAUUAUCACUUUAACAAUGUGUUAUGGAGCGUAUCCAUGCAGUCAUCUGGAAAAGCACAUAUGCUGUGAGAUUUGGGGACUAGCUGUGUACUGCAGUGGCCCACUCUCAGCAUUUCAUCAGAUCUUUGCUCAGGGAGGAAGUGGAGGUGCUUUGUGAGGGGGACUGGAGCCUGCGUCCCCCUGCAUUCUUGUCCUCAGAGCAACAAUUUCCAGGGUGAAUUGCUUUUGAGUAUUAAAAAAAAAGCUUUAAUAUGAAACAAAACCCCUUCCCCACACCCAUUCUUGAAAGCUAUAGCAAUUAGAUCUGAGGUCACACCAGGUCAGUGCCAGGUGGACAGAUCUUAGUCACAGAUCUAAUCACAGAUGAAAAGUCUGCUGGUCUUAGUGCCUUCCUGAUGCUCCCAGAAGAAGGGUGGGCUAACAUGGCCACCUGAUUGACAGACCUCAGACCCAAAUGAAAAAGAACUUCACCAAAUCAGGUCAGGAAAAGAAAGAAUUUUUUCUUUCUUUCUUCUCGCUCUCUUUUCUCUUGGGAAGGAGAAUGGAUUCAUGCUGGGCUCCUUCUUCAAGAUUCUCAGUGAAUCUGGAAUUUGGGAGGCUGGAAUUAUAUCACUGCAGGAGCACACAGAGCUCUUCCCACCAGGACUUCCUGACAGACGUGCAUGAAGCCCCAGGGGCUGCCUGCAAAUGAAGGCAGAGUAAUGCAGUGGAGUGGAGCAAGCUUCCUGGGGGGGAGUCCAGUGCUACUGCAGUCACCAGUCAAGUAGCCUUUAGGAGGGGCCAAUAAUCAAACAGCAGGGAAUGAAUGGCCAAAUCUGGCUCUGCAUGACUCUGUGGCUUGUGGGUUGCUUUUAACAGUAGUAGGAGAUUCACACUUAGUCUUUUCUGGGCAAGUCUAGAGUAUCCUGAGGGAUGUAACUAGGAUGGUUGUAAUUUUCAUCUAUUAUAGAUACCCCAUUUUUUUUUUUUUGCACUACUAGGGAUUGAACCCAGGGACACUCUGUCACUGAAUUACAUCCCCAGCCCUUUUAAUUUUUUAUUUUGAGACAGAAUCUCACUUAAUUUCUGAAGGUCUUACUAUCUUGCUCAGGCUGUCCUCGAACUUGGAAAUCCUCCUACCUCAGCCUCCUGAGUAGCUCAGCAUAUAUGCAUGCACCACUGCACCCAGCUAUAAUGACCUUUUAAUCAUGACUUAUUGUGGCACUGGGAGCCAGGUUUCUUUCUACAUUACUUUAGAAGUCAGAAGAGCAUGUUUUAUUUAUUGAGUGCUAACUAUGUUAGGUGCAUGAUUCGUGAUAAUCAUUAAUGAGUAACAUUAAUGGAGGAUUUAUAAUGUGCUUAACUCUUAUUAAGCACUUUGAAACUGACCUUACUAGAUCCUAGACGACCUAGUACUUAUACUAGGUACUCAUACCUAGUACCUAGUACUAGUACCUCACUUGCACCUGAGGACCGAGGCUCAGUGUUAGGUAACUUGUUCAUUUUGCUGGUAGGUGACAAAAGGGAGACAGUGGUUUGGGGCCUGUCUUGCCACCAGUUUCGGGAAGAACAGCACACAGCCUGCCCUCUUUUCCAUGUUAGAAUAGCAGGAGAAAGUGCUGAGGAACAGCAAGAAAGUGGGGCACAGAUGGUAAAUGGGGCUCUCCUGGCUCUCUGUGGCCAGAGAAGGUGACACUGGUGCUGGGCUGGGCUGGUCCGAACUGUGUAGCAUUAGGCUCUGGGGCUUUGCAUCUGUUUACUGUGCACUGUAAAAUCUCACUGCUGGCUGCUUCCUUCAAGAAUUGAUUUAAUAAACCCUCGAUUUGGAUGUUUUAUUUCUUUGGAGUGUGGUGGGAUCCUGGAGGAGUCAGAUGGGAAUGUGCUCCACAGGGAGGAUUCUGGGUGCACUUUUGAGAGUGAAGCACCCCCACCAGGUUGGGAUCAGCCUUCCUGGGAAGGCAGGUGUGUGUGGCCCUGAGCUGCACAGGUCCCCGG